GUCUAUGGCCAUACUACCCUGAACGUGUCCAAUCUCGUCUGAUCUCAGAAGCUAAGCAGGGUUGGGACUGGUUAGUACUUGAAUGGAAGACAGAUCUUCAAAAGAGACUGUUCAGAGACA
rnacentral:rRNA from 1 species